rnacentral:lncRNA from 1 species
GGUCCUCUCGGGCAUCCAACCCUAUUGAAAGUUCAAGCCUCUACUCGGGAUGGCUAGCCUUCUGCUUUAAGCAUAGCUACAAAACACUAUCGAGCCAUGGCUUGGUUGCCUCUUAUUUGUCCUACUCCCUUCUCGAUAGAAAACUUCACCAUCAAAUGAUAGCUCGACACUACGGCUUUUAAAGUCCACAAGCUCGGAUGGCUAAGGAUUGCAUUGUAGGC